rnacentral:lncRNA from 1 species
CCUGUGUUUGGAAUAAAGCCCUCUCAGCUGCUCUCCAGCAAUGCCUCCCCCUGGAACUGCUCUUUCCAAGUCCUCCCACUCCUUGGCAUCUUUCUCCUUUUAUUUUUUUUUCUUUGCAAAACAAGAAUGAACAUUUCCCUUUUGAUGGACCACAACAGAAACACCAGACCAUCAGACACACUAUUUUUUUUUAUAACAAUACGUCUCAGCAAGUGCAGCUGUUCUUCGAAUUGAUAUCCUCAGGCUGCCAAACACUUCUACCUGGGAAGACGGACACAGCUGGAAUGUCACUCCAUUGGCAUUUGCCCUCCUGGGUCCUCACACAACAUGAAGAGUCUGCCAAUGCAGCUGUUGAAAUAUCUGGCUUGGGAAACUCAAGUUCCGUCCUGUCCACAGCCUUCUUUGAUGCCACUGCAUGUGGACGCUUGAGCAACAGAAGCACCUAUCACACAUGUGCAUACCUGGGAUAGAGUCAGGAGGAUGCACUCCAGGGCCAAGGGGCCAGUCAUGGCCAUUUGAAGUACAAUCUUUCUACCUUCCAUCUCCUUUUCCUUCUGUUUAUUGAUAUAAAUUAGACCUUGCUUCAGUGACAGGAGAAAUAUAAAUGACUGGAAAUCUAUUGUGGGUUGGGGAAAGGACUUAGUUAAUUAUUUGUUUCCUGUGUAUGCAUAAGGACCUGCACUUGAUCCAGCAGAACCAUUGUAUAAAAGCCAUUCAUAGCAGUGAACAUCUGUAAUCCAGGUGUUGGGGAGAUGAAAACAAGUGUAUCACCAGAGCUAGAGCUAGCUAGCCAGCCAGUCUAACUGAAUCAGUGAGAUCCAUGUUCAGUUAGUCUUCAAAGAGUGCACUGGAACGCAGAUGAAGAAGUUACAAGACAUCACCUCUAGCCUCCACAUGUAGGCAAAUACAUAAAUGCAUGUGAACACACACACACACACACACACACACACACACAUACAUCUCUAAGACAGACAGUGACUUCAGCCUCUUCCAGUUUCCAAAGUCACAUUUUUCACUAACUCUAUGACUGAUAGUUGAAUAUUCUAUUUCAUAUCUGUCAUGAAAAUUCCAAGCAAGCCAGAAAUUAUUUGUCUAAAUGCUCCAUUGUGAAGUAGAAACACAUGGAAGAAUGAAUUUGUGAGAUCAAGAAUAGCAUGCACCUUUUGCAGUAUCUUCAUAUAAUUGAUAAGAGCUUUCCCAUCAAGACAGUGAUGAAAGCUUUGGAGAACAAAUCUAAUCAGAG